rnacentral:tRNA from 1 species
GGUGGCGUAGCCAAGUGGUUAGGCAACGGAUUGCAAAUCCGUGAACGCGGGUUCGAUUCCCGCCGCCACCUCCA